rfam:Brachypodium distachyon strain Bd21 chromosome 2, whole genome shotgun sequence.
CAAUUACUCCCUCCGAUCCAUAUGAAUUGUCGAAAUAUUACAUGUAUCUAGACGCUUUUUAGGCAUAGAUACAUCCAUAUUUGGGCAAAUUUGAGACAAUUAAUAUGGAUCGGAGGGAGUAAUUU